rnacentral:rRNA from 1 species
GAGUUUGAUCGUGGCUCAGGAUGAACGCUGGCGGCGUGCCUAAUACAUGCAAGUCGAACGAACAGAUAAGGAGCUUGCUCCUUUGACGUUAGCGGCGGACGGGUGAGUAACACGUGGGUAACCUACCUAUAAGACUGGGAAUAACUCCGGGAAACCGGGGCUAAUGCCGGAUAACAUGUUGAACCGCAUGGUUCUACAGUGAAAGACGGUCUUGCUGUCACUUAUAGAUGGACCCGCGCCGUAUUAGCUAGUUGGCGGGGUAACGGCCUACCAAGGCGACGAUACGUAGCCGACCUGAGAGGGUGAUCGGCCACACUGGAACUGAGACACGGUCCAGACUCCUACGGGAGGCAGCAGUAGGGAAUCUUCCGCAAUGGGCGAAAGCCUGACGGAGCAACGCCGCGUGAGUGAUGAAGGUCUUCGGAUCGUAAAGCUCUGUUGUUAGGGAAGAACAAAUGUGUAAGUAACUGUGCAUAUCUUGACGGUACCUAACCAGAAAGCCACGGCUAACUACGUGCCAGCAGCCGCG